rnacentral:rRNA from 1 species
GUAGGUGGCAAGCGUUGUCCGGAAUUAUUGGGCGUAAAGCGCGCGCAGGCGGUCCUUUAAGUCUGAUGUGAAAGCCCACGGCUCAACCGUGGAGGGUCAUUGGAAACUGGGGGACUUGAGUACAGAAGAGGAAAGCGGAAUUCCAAGUGUAGCGGUGAAAUGCGUAGAGAUUUGGAGGAACACCAGUGGCGAAGGCGGCUUUCUGGUCUGUAACUGACGCUGAGGCGCGAAAGCGUGGGGAGCAAACAGGGAUUAGAUACCCUGGUAGUCCACGCCGUAAACGAUGAGUGCUAAGUGUUAGGGGGGUUUCCCGCCCCUCAGUGCUGCAGCUAACGCAUUAAGCACUCCGCCUGGGGAGUACGGCCGCAAGGCUG